rnacentral:rRNA from 1 species
ACUCAAAUGAAUAGACGGGGGUCCGCACAAGCGGUGGAGCAUGUGGUUUAAUUCGAUAGUACGCGAGGAACCUUACCUGGGCUAGAAUGCUUCUGCUAUCUUGAGAAAUCGAGAGUUCCUUCGGGACAGAAUGCAAGGUGCUGCAUGGCCGUCGUCAGCUCGUGCCGUGAGGUGUUGGGUUAAGUCCCAUAACGAGCGCAACCCUUUUACUUAGUUGCCAACACAUAAUGGUGGGAACUCUAAGUAGACUGCCUGUGUAAGCAGGAGGAAGGCGAGGAUGAGGUCAGGUCAUCAUGGCUCUUACGCCCAGGGCUACACAUGUGCUACAAUGGCGUGUACAGAAGGAUGCUACUUGGUAACAAGCGGCCAAUCCCUAAAGCACGUCUCAGUUCGGAUUGAGGUCUGCAACUCGACCUCAUGAAGUUGGAAUCGCUAGUAAUCGCGUAUCAGCAACGACGCGGUGAAUACGUUCUCGGACCUUGCACACACCGCCCGU